UAGUAAACCCGUAGCACAUUGACUGCACCAAUUCCCAGUAGAUCACUGAAGUUAAGCAACGUUACGCGUAGUUAGUAAUCAGAUGGGAGACCUACAAUAGAGUAAUUACUUAUAGUCU
rnacentral:rRNA from 1 species